rnacentral:piRNA from 1 species
UCUGCACAGGCCAGAUGGGAGAGUUGAA